UGGGGAAUAUUGCACAAUGGACGAAAGUCUGAUGCAGCAACGCCGCGUGGCGGAUGACACAUUUCGGUGCGUAAACUCCUUUUAUAUGGGAAGAUAAUGACGGUACCAUAUGAAUAAGCACCGGCUAACUCCGUGCCAGCAGCCGCGGUAAUACGGAGGGUGCAAGCGUUACUCGGAAUCACUGGGCGUAAAGAGCGUGUAGGCGGAUAUAUAAGUCAGAAGUGAAAUCCAAUAGCUUAACUAUUGAACUGCUUUUGAGACUGUAUAUCUAGAAUGUGGGAGAGGUAGAUGGAAUUUCUGGUGUAGGGGUAAAAGCCGGAGAGAUCAGAAGGAAUACCGAUUGCGAAGGCGAUCUACUGGAACAUUAUUGACGCUGAGCCGCGAAAGCGUGGGGAGCAAACA
rnacentral:rRNA from 1 species